rnacentral:rRNA from 1 species
GCAUCAAUGAGGGUGAGAGUCCUGUUUGUCAUGUGCAGCCUUCUGUGCACGGUGUAUAUUUGCUGAGUCACACUCCUUGGCAUUGGAAUGCAAAGUGGGUGGUAAGUUUCAUGCAAAGGUAAAUAUGCAAUUGAGACUGAUAGCGCACAAGUACCAUGAGGGACAUAUGAAAAGGACUUUGAAAAGAGAAUUAAAUGAGUUUGUAUUUGCUAAACACAAAGUAAACAGACUUGAUUUCCUCAGUGAGAUUGUAGUGCUUGCUUAACAAUGGGUUUUGGCUGCAAGUGCAAUAAUUCUUGCUUUGUGUGCCAGUUUUUAUGUGGACAUUUGAUUACCUUUGCACAUGAAUGGUAAUUUUCCUGCGGGGUGUGGAUUGCAUAUGCAUGUAAUGAUUUGCAUGUUUGUUAAAUGUGUCUGGUGUAUUUGUUUGUGUCCUUGUCCUUGAGGUUGCUUUCUCCCUUGGGCUUACAUGCCCUGGCACACACAUUCUGGCAAAAUGCUUCUGCUUGACCCGUCUUGAAACACGGACCAAGGAGUCUAACAGAUGUGCAAGUUUGAAGGUGGUAUACCUGUGUGUGUAAUGAAAGUAUUGGCUGGGAUAUUUGCACCAGCAGCCGACUAAUUAGCAGACAGAGGUUUGAGUUGGAGCAUAUCUAUUAGGACCCGAAAGAUGGUGAACUAUGCUUGAACAGAAAGAAUUCAGAGGAAACUCUGAUGGAGGUUCGUAUCGAUACUGACGUGCAAAUCGUUCGUCAUAUUUGGGUAUAGGGGCGAAAGACUAAUCGAACCAUCUAGUAGCUGGUUCCCUCCGAAGUUUCCCUCAGGAUAGCUGGAGUUGCACAGUUUUAUCAGGUAAAGCGAAUGAUUAGAGGAAUUGGGGACAGAUGUGUCCUUGACCUAUUCUCAAACUUUAAAUGGGUAAUAUGUAGUGGUUGCUUGAUGGAACUUCUAAAAUGAAUGGCAAUAUUAGGUGGGCCAUUUUUGGUAAGCAGAACUGGCGAUGAGGGAUGAACCUAAUGCUGGGUUAAGGGGCUU